rnacentral:rRNA from 1 species
CUGGCGGCGUGCCUAACACAUGCAAGUCGAACGGAGUAUAUUCGCUGCAGAGAUUUCGGUCGAAGCUUGAGUAUACUUAGUGGCGGACGGGUGAGUAACGCGUGGGCAACCUGCCUCAUACUGGGGGAUAGCAGUUGGAAACGACUGAUAAUACCGUAUAAGCGCACAGCAUCGCAUGAUGCAGUGUGAAAAACUCCGGUGGUAUGAGAUGGGCCCGCGUCAGAUUAGCCAGUUGGCAGGGUAACGGCCUACCAAAGCGACGAUCUGUAGCCGGCCUGAGAGGGCGGACGGCCACAUUGGGACUGAGACACGGCCCAAACUCCUACGGGAGGCAGCAGUGGGGGAUAUUGCACAAUGGAGGAAACUCUGAUGCAGCGACGCCGCGUGAAGUGAAGAAGUAUUUCGGUAUGUAAAGCUCUAUCAGCAGGGAAGAAAGACUCGCAAGAGAGAUGACGGUACCUGACUAAGAAGCCCCGGCUAACUACGUGCCAGCAGCCGC